rnacentral:rRNA from 1 species
AUUGAACGCUGGAGGCAUGCUUUACACAUGCAAGUCGAACGGUAACAGGGUGCUUGCACCGCUGACGAGUGGCGAACGGGUGAGUAAUGCGUCGGAACGUGCCGAGUAGUGGGGGAUAACGCAGCGAAAGUUGUGCUAAUACCGCAUACGUACUGAGGUAGAAAGUGGGGGACCUUCGGGCCUCACGCUAUUCGAGCGGCCGAUGUCUGAUUAGCUAGUAGGUGAGGUAAAGGCUCACCUAGGCGACGAUCAGUAGCGGGUCUGAGAGGAUGAUCCGCCACACUGGGACUGGGACACGGCCCAGACUCCUACGGGAGGCAGCAGUGGGGAAUUUUGGACAAUGGGCGAAAGCCUGAUCCAGCCAUGCCGCGUGUCUGAAGAAGGCCUUCGGGUUGUAAAGGACUUUUGUCAGGGAGGAAAUCCCUAGUGCUAAUAACACUGGGGGAUGACAGUACCUGAAGAAUAAGCACCGGCUAACUACGUGCCAGCCGCCGCCGUAA